AUUCCAGCUCCAAUAGCGUAUAUUAAAGUUGUUGCGGUUAAAAAGCUCGUAGUUGGAUUUCUGCUGUGAACGCCUGGUCCACCCCCUGGGUGAGUAUCUGGGUUGUUUAUGGCAUCUUCUUGGGGAACGCUCUGUACUUGACUGUAUGGAGUGGUAUCCAAGACCUUUACUUUGAGGAAAUUAGAGUGUUUCAAGCAGGCCUUUUGCCUUGAAUACAUUAGCAUGGAAUAAUAAGAUAGGACUUUGGGUUCUAUUUUGUUGGUUUCUAGAGCUGAAGUAAUGAUUAAUAGGGAUAGUUGGGGCAUUCGUAUUUAACUGUCAGAGGUGAAAUUCUUGGAUUUGUUUAAAGACGGACUACUGCGAAAGCAUUUUGCCAAGGAUGUUUUUCAUUGAUCAAGAACGAAAGUUAGGGGAUCGAAGACGAUCAGAUACCGUCCUAGUCUUAACCAUAAACCAUGCCGACUAGAGAUUGGAGGGCGUUUUUUACGG
rnacentral:rRNA from 1 species